GCUAAAUUCAUUCUUAGUUGAAUGUCGAAUCGCUAAUACCAUUGUUGGUUAUGGUAGAACAGUUUUCCAUACUGGUACGCUGUAUGACGUCGAGCAUUGCCAAAAUGGAAGUGCUCUUUGAAGAACUGAGCGUCUAAAUCUUCUUCAGUCAGAUGAAGCUAACGGAUUCGGAAAUCGUCGAAGAAGCAGAGGACAUCACAGCUGAAAAAAAAAACGUGAGUCAAACUCCUGUGGUUAAGUUCUGCAGCUACUCUCAAAAUAUUUUGUCUUGUUUGCUCGUGUUGAUUGUAGACUGCUUUUAAAUUAUCUAUCAGUGAAGCCCUAAUAAGAGGUCCAAGAGAAAUUUAUUCGGGUCAACUGAUACCAUACCACGUACUAAAUCGUUAAUGGUUUUCAGGUAAAAAAUAACCAUGAGAAUAUGGGGUCGCAGAAAUAGAUGUCAACUGGUGGAAAAUAAGAAGGUGAUACGGUAUUUCUCUUUUCUUUUUUAAAAAUACUGUCUGAUUUUUAAAGAUUUGGUGAGGAACAUCCAAUCUGUCGAUCGCGGUCGCUAACCAAUUGGUAGAAAAACAGCACCAAUAAUGGUCGAACUCGGAUGUGCUUUAUUCGAGAUUUUAACACAAAUUGCAUUUUAUCAUCAAUUAUGAUUCUUAAAGGCAACUUUUGAAGUUUUUGUGGGCACUGAUUUGCAGAGUACUCGUGACCAACAGAUAAAAUGGCCCAAUUGCAAAUUUGCAAGCUGUCUUCAAAAACCAAGGAAUUUCUAUUUGCAAGUCUAAUUAGGUAGAAAACCUUUCUCUGAAAAGUUUAGGAACCAUUGUUAAUUUGAAUUGACCCAUUCCAAUCCCCAGCAACGUAAACCUGCAG